GGUGCCCGAAUGAAACUGAAACGUGCCGCCUGGAAGUACGUCGCAAGGCUGAACUAAAGGAAUGGCGGGGAGCACCACAACGGGUGGAGCUGCGGUUAAUGGACUCAACGCCGGGCAGCUCACCGGAUAGGACAGCGGAAUGAUAGCCGGGCUUAAGACCUUGCUUGACCAGCUGAGAGGAGGUGCAUGGCCGUCGUCAGUUCGUACUGUGAAGCAUCCUGUUUAGUCAGGCAACGAGCGAGACCCACGCCAACAGUUGCUAGCAUGUUCUCCGGAAUGAAAAGGACAAAAAAGGGACCGCCUCUGCUAAAGAGGAGGAAGGAAUGGGCAACGGUAGGUCAGCAUGCCCCGAAUUAUCCGGGCUACACGCGGGCUACAAUGGUCAGGACAAUGGGAAACGGCACUGAAAAGUGUAGUCAAUCUCCUAAACCUGUCCCAAGUUCGGAUUGUGGGCUGCAACUCGCCCACAUGAAGCUGGAAUCGGUAGUAAUCGCGUUUCAAAAUAGCGCGGGAAUA
rnacentral:rRNA from 1 species